rnacentral:rRNA from 1 species
GACGAACGCUGGCGGCGUGCUUAACACAUGCAAGUCGAACGGAAAGGCCCUGCUUUUGUGGGGUGCUCGAGUGGCGAACGGGUGAGUAACACGUGAGUAACCUGCCCUUGACUUUGGGAUAACUUCAGGAAACUGGGGCUAAUACCGGAUAGGAGCUCCUGCUGCAUGGUGGGGGUUGGAAAGUUUCGGCGGUUGGGGAUGGACUCGCGGCUUAUCAGCUUGUUGGUGGGGUAGUGGCUUACCAAGGCUUUGACGGGUAGCCGGCCUGAGAGGGUGACCGGCCACAUGGAGUGUGGUGUGGGGCGCCGACGCCGAGGGGAGGGAGGAGGGGGAUAGAGGGCAAGGUGCGGGGAAGCCGGGUGCAGCCACGCCGCGGGGGGGACGAGGGCUUGGGGGGUGGACGACGCUUCGGAGGGUGAGGAAGGGGGAGGGGCGGAAGUGGGAAAAGAAGCACCGGCAACCGAGGUGCCGGAAGCUGAGAUAAGAGGUCGAGGAGCACUGGUCUAAAC